rnacentral:misc_RNA from 1 species
AUAAAAAAUAAAUAGAAAGACAAAAAGAGUUACAGAAGGAAUUAACAGAAAGGAAGAAGAACUUACUGAUUUUUGGGAUCAAAUGAGAAAUGAAAAUCGAAACAGCUUCCUUUUGAAAAUAAACAGAAAGCUUUAGCAAUCAGUGUAUGUAAAGAGAGAGAGAAAGCAGGAUGAUCAGUUGAUUAUUCCAGAGAAAUCAAGCGAAAAUGA